AUCAAUUCCUUAUGCUUCAGUUGUAGGCAAUUUGAUGUAUACUUAAACAUGUAUAAUUCCUUAUCUUGAAAUGGAUCACUAGAAAGCUACAAAAAAAGGUUUAAUGGUACCUGCAAUAAACUAAAGAAUUCAUGCUCAUUAUAGGAGAUCUAAUUAUUUAGAAGUGAUUGGAUACUCAGAUUCAUAUUGUGCUAGAUAUGGUGACAUUAAAAGUCUAUUUUGGCUACUUGUUGCUAUUAGCUGAACGAACAGUAUCAUGGAAAAAUGCAAAAGUUAGUUU
rnacentral:misc_RNA from 1 species